rnacentral:rRNA from 1 species
GACGAACGCUGGCGGCGUGCUUAACACAUGCAAGUCGAGCGAUGAAGCUCCUUCGGGAGUGGAUUAGCGGCGGACGGGUGAGUAACACGUGGGUAACCUGCCUCAUAGAGGGGAAUAGUCUUCCGAAAGGAAGAUUAAUACCGCAUAAGAUUGUAGUACCGCAUGGUAUAGCAAUUAAAGGAGUAAUCCGCUAUGAGAUGGACCCGCGUCGCAUUAGCUAGUUGGUGAGGUAACGGCUCACCAAGGCGACGAUGCGUAGCCGACCUGAGAGGGUGAACGGCCACAUUGGGACUGAGACACGGCCCAGACUCCUACGGGAGGCAGCAGUGGGGAAUAUUGCGCAAUGGGGGAAACCCUGAUGCAGCAACGCCGCGUGAGUGAUGACGGUCUUCGGAUUGUAAAACUCUGUCUUCAGGGACGAUAAUGACGGUACCUGAGGAGGAAGCCACGGCUAACUACGUGCCAGCAGCCGCGGUAAUAC